rnacentral:rRNA from 1 species
GACGAACGCUGGCGGCGUGCCUAAUACAUGCAAGUAGGACGCACAGUUUAUACCGUAGCUUGCUACACCAUAGACUGUGAGUUGCGAACGGGUGAGUAACGCGUAGGUAACCUGCCUAUUAGAGGGGGAUAACUAUUGGAAACGAUAGCUAAUACCGCAUAACAGUAUGUAACACAUGUUAGAUGCUUGAAAGAUGCAAUUGCAUCGCUAGUAGAUGGACCUGCGUUGUAUUAGCUAGUAGGUAGGGUAAUGGCCUACCUAGGCGACGAUACAUAGCCGACCUGAGAGGGUGAUCGGCCACACUGGGACUGAGACACGGCCCAGACUCCUACGGGAGGCAGCAGUAGGGAAUCUUCGGCAAUGGGGGGAACCCUGACCGAGCAACGCCGCGUGAGUGAAGAAGGUUUUCGGAUCGUAAAGCUCUGUUGUUAAGGAAGAACGAGUGUGAAAAUGGAAAGUUCAUACUGUGACGGUACUUAACCAGAAAGGGACGGCUAACUACGUGCCAGCAGCCGCGGUAAUACGUAGGUCCCGAGCGUUGUCCGGAUUUAUUGGGCGUAAAGCGAGCGCAGGCGGUUAGAAAAGUCUGAAGUGAAAGGCAGUGGCUCAACCAUUGUAGGCUUUGGAAACUGUUUAACUUGAGUGCAGAAGGGGAGAGUGGAAUUCCAUGUGUAGCGGUGAAAUGCGUAGAUAUAUGGAGGAACACCGGGUGGCGAAAGCGGCUCUCUGGUCUGUAACUGACGCUGAGGCUCGAAAGCGUGGGGAGCGAACAGG